rnacentral:lncRNA from 1 species
UGGGAGGCAAGCAUGAUAAGUUUAUAAAUACUUUGGGAUGAGAGGCUAAUGACCUUAGAUAAGGUCAGCUAAUUGAAGAAGACUCAGAAAGGUAAAGUUUCUGAGGACCUAGAUGAAGAAAAGAUGCUAUUGCAACAGGUCUUUUCAAAUCAAGAUCUGCUGGCAACAGGCCACAGAUAAAUAUGGCAAAAAGAUGGGCAUAAGCAAACAGCUUGUGUGUAUCACACAAAGAAGGUAAAGAAGAAAUUGCGGCUAUUUAAGUCACUGUGCUAUGUCAGUUGUAAUUUGCACCACAUAUUCCUUCAUCUGCAGUAGUCAUCCUCCUAAAUAAUAGAAGCAUCUCAAGAGGAUAUAGUUAUGGACAAGUCUGGAGAGUCAGCUUGGAACCACAUCAAGGACAACUCUGAAGUCAGUGGAGCACCAUCUUGGGUUUUGAUCCACUUUUUGGAGGACUCAUCCAAUACCCAAUUCGUCAGCUUCUGAAGUCUGUGGCUGUUAACCUAGAUGAUAGACAAUGUGACCUUGGUACCUUGGUAGCAAGAAAGUACUCUAGAAGGGAUGGAUUAAUUUAUAAUGACUAUGAGUGGUUCAAACGUUGAAAAUAUUUUUUAACGAAAUGCUUAACAUUUCUCAGCGUUACCUUCUACAAUUUCUGGUUGAAAUCCAGUCAGCUCUAAUGCUUUGAAAACCAAUCAUAACACAAAUCCCUGGACAUAACCUUUACUUUAGGGAGUAGAUGAAAUGAGAUAUCUCUUCUGUUAUUAUUAGUAAGUACAAAUCAAUUUCAGCUGGAAACAGGAAAAAUGUGAACAUUUCAGAGUAAUCUCAGUAAAGCAAUAAAUGAUAUUGAAAAUGUGUUCAUAACCUUUUAAUAAUCAAUUUAAUGGAAAAAUAAAAUUUGGAAAGUAUUAUAUAGCAUGCUCAGUAUAUAAAAUAUGCAC